CACAUCACGAAGGGUGUAAAGCAAACCAUUAUGGAAUCAUAAAAAGCACCGACGACGUCAAUAGGUUUAAUAAAUUGAACUCGGACGAUUUUUUCAUGCUUCAGACGACCAUCGUUAUUAAAUAUUAGCUUAGCAAUAAAUUAACACUACAAUUAACUUUAACUUUAAUAGUAUUACUUAAGUAAAACGCAACAUUAUAGCAAUUAUAAAUUAACAGAUAUUGUAUACAAGGACCCGGUCGAAAAAAAGAUAGCUGUGGUGUUUUAACCGACUUUGCAGUUUUCAAAGUUCAAAUAAAAACUAAAAACAAACACAAUUUGAAAAUGUAUUUAUGAAAGUAAAAAAAAGUAGACUCUGCAGUAAAUAAACACAAUCAACACAAUUUGUAGUAAAAAGUUGACAUUUUACAAGUCAGAUUAUAUUUUUCAUCAACAUACUGUUAUAUUUUCAUUUUCGAAAAGUAUACGCGCAUUUGGAUAAGUUUGUAUUCGUUGAUAACCUGACUAACAGUUAUUUGAUUACAAUAUUGCGGUAUGUCAUGUACAUGUGUGGCCCUUUUGCAAACUACUCACUGAGCAUUCACUAAGUGUGUUUAUAUGCACAUAAAUCUCUCACGUGUAUCUGAUUGAAGGACUAGUUGUCCACACAAGUCAGUUUAGUCAGUCUAGUCAGUAGAAUUUUAUUAUUCACUUAUUUUAUAUGGCAAAAUAAACAAUAAACGGGCUCGCGCGAAAACGCACAAGAAAUAUGAAAUAUUUGAUCACACAAAGUCAUGAUUUAUUGAGUUUCAAAUUUAGGAAAUAUUGAUUAUAGUUUUGUGACUAGCACUCUCGAAUUACUCGGCAUCAAAUUAAAGUGACGACUAUUGCAAAGACGAUAGUGAGUACAGCACUGGAUUUGUUUCGGCUUAAAAAUAUCCAUAAAAUAACAUAAGGGCCCGAAUACGUUAAAUUGUUACUAUAAGUGGAUGUGAUUACAAUCUGACCGGUCAGACUAGAUACUCGUGAACACAAGAGGUUCUGUACCGGUUCUCUCUGUCCGCUAAUUGUUGUGGUCACCGAUCGAAAAGGUACACAAUACACGUUAUUAUUAUGGUUAAUUUUCUUCAUUAUUAAACAUACUGUAAUGGAUAGUAACAUCACACUAAAUAUGAUCAUAAUGAAUUAAAAGUUCGGAGGAAUAUUUCAGGUAAUUUUAACAGACGCCCUCGCACAAAUAUUGGAAUAUUUUAUUAGACUAUAAAACAAAAUAUUCAUCGAUUGGUUAUGUUCAAGAGGCGUAGGUGUUUAUAUAUUUGUUUCGAUAAAUCCGAUCAGUACCCGCGUAUUUUGUGAGUGGAUCAAUACUUUGAAAAAUAAUCCUAAGAUUAUUUAUCGGGAUGUCUUGAAGUUUAAAUUUAGUGACUUUUUUUAUCAUUUUUGAGAUAAAAGAUAAAAUUAAAUAAAUUACUCAUAAAAGUUCAUUCAAACAUUAGAUAUUAAAGAAAAGUCAUUAUGAAAACACUACUCAAUGGAAAAACUAUUGAUAUAAGUGUCUUAUAAAAAUGAAUAAAUGUAAUUUAUUCUA